UUUUUUUUUUUUUUUUUUUUUUUUCUUGUCUCUUCUCGUCCUCAUAA
rnacentral:ribozyme from 1 species